GGUGCUGCCAUACUUUGUCAAUCGCAAAUCGAUGCAUAUCGUUGCGACACUGACAUUUCGUGCACGGGAAAUAGAAAAUUGUAUUCCCGUUAGCAUUAGCCAGCGCAUAUUCCAGAAAACUCAUAAUUCCUUUACCAUAUCUUUUGUCCCAUUUUGGAAGCGAAAUUCAACUCUUAUCCAUAUCCUGAAAAUAUAACAAAAUAUAUAUGUAUAACGCUAGCUAAUUAUUAAUUAAAUUCUAUGCCAUAUAUAAAAUUUCAAUUCAUUUAUAUAUAUUCUACGUACUACAACUAAUUGUUAACAAAUUAAUUAACACACAUAUAUAUAUAUAGAUAUACUUAAUUAAGAAUUACAUAACAAUUUAUAUAUAUCAACAUCAUCACAAAAUCAUCAUUAACAACUUCAUACCAUCAACACAAUAUUAUAAAUUAAUUAACAUAUAUAUAUAUAUAUAUCCAGAGCCCUUCCAAUGAGGGAUCCCCUUUUUUUGACAUAUAUGAGGAAUAGGGGAUUACAUCAACUUUUCGAUCACAAAAUCACAUCUCCACCGUUCAAUAUGUAGUUCUAUAUGAGUAGAUCACUUCUGCAAAUUUUCAGAAAUUUUGGUGUUCGUUAAAGCAUUCAAAACUACGAUUUAUAAUUAUAAGCAUGAACGGUUCAGGUUUGGCAGAUUUGGUUCGUUCAUUGAUUUAAUCUUGUUUGACACCUUAACGAUCACCAAAUUGGCUGAAAAUUUGCAGAAUUGAUCUAUAUACAAGGACCAACAAACUGAAUGGUAGAGAUUCAAAA
rnacentral:lncRNA from 1 species